GAGGAGUGGCUGAGCGGUUGAAGGCGGCUGACUCGAAAUCAGUUGAAGGGAGUAUUCUCUUCCGUGGGUUCAAAUCCUACCUCCUCC
rnacentral:tRNA from 1 species